AUCUUACCGAGUGAGGGCCCUCUGGGUCCAACCUCCCACCCGUGUCUAUUUACCUUGUUGCUUCGGCGGGCCCGCCUUAACUGGCCGCCGGGGGGCUUAGCCCCCGGGCCCGCGCCCGCCGAAGACACCCUCGAACUCUGUCUGAAGAUUGAAGUCUGAGUGAAAAUAUAAAUUAUUUAAAACUUUCAACAACGGAUCUCUUGGUUCCGGCAUCGAUGAAGAACGCAGCGAAAUGCGAUACGUAAUGUGAAUUGCAAAUUCAGUGAAUCAUCGAGUCUUUGAACGCACAUUGCGCCCCCUGGUAUUCCGGGGGGCAUGCCUGUCCGAGCGUCAUUGCUGCCCUCAAGCCCGGCUUGUGUGUUGGGCCCCGUCCCCCGAUUCCGCGGGACGGGCCCGAAAGGCAGCGGCGGCACCGCGUCCGGUCCUCGAGCGUAUGGGGCUUUGUCACCCGCUCUGUAGGCCCGGCCGGCGCCUGCCGAUCAACCCAAAUUUUUAUCCAGGUUGACCUCGGAUCAGGU
rnacentral:rRNA from 1 species